rnacentral:rRNA from 1 species
AACGAACGCUGGCGGCAUGCCUAACACAUGCAAGUCGAACGAGACCUUCGGGUCUAGUGGCGCACGGGUGCGUAACGCGUGGGAACCUGCCCUUAGGUUCGGAAUAACUCCCCGAAAGGGGUGCUAAUACCGGAUAAUGUCUUCGGACCAAAGAUUUAUCGCCUUUGGAUGGGCCCGCGUUGGAUUAGCUAGUUGGUAGGGUAAAAGCCUACCAAGGCGACGAUCCAUAGCUGGUCUGAGAGGAUGAUCAGCCACACUGGGACUGAGACACGGCCCAGACUCCUACGGGAGGCAGCAGUGGGGAAUAUUGGACAAUGGGCGAAAGCCUGAUCCAGCAAUGCCGCGUGAGUGAUGAAGGCCUUAGGGUUGUAAAAGCUCUUUUACCCGGGAUGAUAAUGACAGUACCGGGAGAAUAAGCUCCGGCUAACUCCGUG